rnacentral:misc_RNA from 1 species
AACACUGUUAACCUGCGGUACCUGCGGAGGGAUCAUUACUGUGAUUUACUACUACACUGCGUGAGCGGAACGAAAACAACAACACCUAAAGUGUGGAAUAUAGCAUAUAGUCGACAAGAGAAAUCUACGAAAAAACAAACAAAACUUUCAACAAUGGAUCU